UCCCGGAUCCUUACUUAGGAGGACAAAAUGGUAACACAACAAAUGUUUUAGGAGGAAUCAGAGUUGUUAAAAAGGGAUAUGGUUGGUUGUAAGGUUUAACAUAUAUGUGAACUGAGGUUUGGUAAAAUCGGGUUUGCAUUGACUCAUAUCAGCUCUUUCUAAGUACAGGGAGAGCUGAGAAACUCUGCAGAGAGGAGAGGUUAGAAACUGUCCAGUGGUACAUGCUGUGAAAGGAAAAGGAAUAGAAAGAUUUAACAGCUGGGAUGGAGCGCAGAGAGUUUACAUUCAAGAGAUGUACUAAAGAGGCCUCAGCCAACAACAUCGAUGACAGCUAAAAUCAAAAGUGAUUUUAAGUAAUUGGCAGUUCUUCUCGGGACUGCUUGCCCCAGCAUAUAUCCUGCUAAGUGCUGGGGUUUUUAAGAACCACAAGUAUAAAACUGUAGCCCUACAAGGCAUGUGACACUUGGCCAUUUAUUGCACAUUGCUGUGUGUCCAAAGGAAGGAAGGGAGGAAGAAAGGAAAGAAGGAAGAGAGGAGUUUAUUUCCAGGACAGUAUCUUCAAAGGAACCCACAUGCUGACAAACUGUUAGAAAUUUGAGCAUUACCAGAAUUGGAGUAAGUAACUUUACUAACAGUGCCACCACUUGUCUUUUUGGGCAGACACAAAACGU
rnacentral:lncRNA from 1 species